CCCGCUGAACUUAAGCAUAUCAAUAAGCGGAGGAAAAGAAACUAACAAGGAUUCCCCUAGUAACUGCGAGUGAAGCGGGAAAAGCUCAAAUUUAAAAUCUGGCGGUCUUUUGGCUGUCCGAGUUGUAAUCUAGAGAAGUGCUAUCCGCGCUGGACCGUGUACAAGUCUCCUGGAAUGGAGCAUCAUAGAGGGUGAGAAUCCCGUCUUUGACAUGGACUGCCAGGGCUUUGUGAUGUGCUCUCAAAGAGUCGAGUUGUUUGGGAAUGCAGCUCAAAAUGGGUGGUAAAUUUCAUCUAAAGCUAAAUACUGGCGAGAGACCGAUAGCGCACAAGUAGAGUGAUCGAAAGAUGAAAAGCACUUUGAAAAUAGAGUCAAAAAGUACGUGAAAUUGUUGAAAGGGAAGCGCUUGAGAUCAGAGUCAGCCUUUGGCAAACAACUGUCCUUAUGGGCGGUGCACUUGUCAUUGGUUGGGUCAGCAUCGGUUGGGACGGUAGGAUAAAGGCUUGGGAAAUGUGACUCCUUUAUGGAGUGUUAUAGUCCCGGGUGGCAUGCUAUCAGUCUCGACCGUGGACCGCGCCUUGGCUCGGAUGCUGGCUUAAUGGUCUUCAGCGACCCGUCUUGAAACACGG
rnacentral:rRNA from 1 species